GGUCACCUCUCCGUUGGUGUCGGUAAACGUCGAGUUUCUCCCAUUCGUCCGUUGACGUAUGGUUGAGUCUUCCCAUUCAUCCGUUGAUGUCUGGUCACCUCUCUGUUGGUGUCGGUAAACGUCGAGUCCCAUUCGUCCGUUGACGUAUGGUUGAGUCUUCCCAUUCAUCCGUUGAUGUCUGGUCACCUCUCUGUUGGUGUCGGUAAACGUCGAGUUUCUCCCAUUCGUCCGUUGACGUAUGGUUGAGUCUUCC
rnacentral:lncRNA from 1 species